CCAAUAGCGUAUAUUAAAGUUGUUGCAGUUAAAAAGCUCGUAGUUGAAUUUCGGGAUCAGAUUGUCGGUCGUGCCUCGGUACGCACUGGCAUUAUUGGUUCCUACCUUCUGAAGAACCGCGAUGUCAUUAAUUUGGUGUCGUGGGGAAUCAGGACUGUUACUUUGAAAAAAUUAGAGUGUUUAAAGCAGGCGCACGCUUGAAUACAUUAGCAUGGAAUAAUGAAAUAGGACGUUUGAUUCUAUUUUGUUGGUUUCUAGGAUCGACGUAAUGAUUAAUAGGGAUAGUUGUGGGCAUUAGUAUUCAAUUGACAGAGGUGAAAUUCUUGGAUUUAUUGAAGACUAACUACUGCGAAAGCAUUUGCCAAGGAUGUUUUCAUUAAUCAAGAACGAAAGUUAGGGGAUCGAAGACGAUCAGAUACAGUCGUAGUCUUAACCAUAAACUAUGCCGACUAAGGAUCGGAUGAUGUUAAUUUUAUAAUGACUCAUUCGGCGCCUUACG
rnacentral:rRNA from 1 species